rnacentral:rRNA from 1 species
UAUGCGUGUCAUUAGCUAGUUGGCGGGGUAACGGCCCACCAAGGCGACGAUGACUAGGGGAUCUGAGAGGAUGACCCCCCACACUGGUACUGAGACACGGACCAGACUCCUACGGGAGGCAGCAGUAAGGAAUAUUGGUCAAUGGAGGCAACUCUGAACCAGCCAUGCCGCGUGCAGGAAGACAGCCCUCUGGGUCGUAAACUGCUUUUAUUCGGGAAUAAACCACAUUACGUGUAAUGUGCUGAAUGUACCGAAGGAAUAAGGAUCGGCUAACUCCGUGCCAGCAGCCGCGGUAAUACGGAGGAUCCAAGCGUUAUCCGGAUUUAUUGGGUUUAAAGGGUGCGUAGGCGGCUUAUUAAGUCAGGGGUGAAAGACGGUGGCUCAACCAUCGCAGUGCCUUUGAUACUGAUGAGCUUGAAUACACUAGAGGUAGGCGGAAUGUGACAAGUAGCGGUGAAAUGCAUAGAUAUGUCACAGAACACCGAUUGCGAAGGCAGCUUACUAUGGUGUGAUUGACGCUGAGGCACGAAAGCGUGGGGAUCAAACAGGAUUAGAUACCCUGGUAGUCCACGCCCUAAACGAUGAAUACUCGCUGUUAGCGAUAUACAGUUAGCGGCUAAGCGAAAGCGUUAAGUAUUCCACCUGGGGAGUACGCCCGCAAGGGUGAAACUCAAAGGAAUUGACGGGGGCCCGCACAAGCGGAGGAGCAUGUGGUUUAAUUCGAUGAUACGCGAGGAACCUUACCCGGGCUUGAAAGUUAGUGAAUCAUUUAGAGAUAGAUGAGUCCGCAAGGACACGAAACUAGGUGCUGCAUGGCUGUCGUCAGCUCGUGCCGUGAGGUGUUGGGUUAAGUCCCGCAACGAGCGCAACCCCUAUGUUUAGUUGCCAGCACGUUAUGGUGGGGACUCUAAACAGACUGCCUGUGCAAACAGAGAGGAAGGAGGGGACGACGUCAAGUCAUCAUGGCCCUUACGUCCGGGGCUACACACGUGCUACAAUGGAUGGUACAGAGGGCAGCAAGCUGGCAACAGCAAGCGAAUCUCAAAAAGCCAUUCACAGUUCGGAUAGAGGUCUGCAACUCGACCUCUUGAAGUUGGAUUCGCUAGUAAUCGCGUAUCAGCAAUGACGCGGUGAAUACGUUCCCGGGCCUUGUACACACCGCCCGUCAAGCCAUGGAAGUUGGGGGUACCUAAAGUAUGUAACCGCAAGGAGCGUCCUAGGGUAAAACCGAUAACUGGGGCUAAGUCGUAACAAGGUAGCCGUACCGGAAGGUGCGGCUG